rnacentral:rRNA from 1 species
AUUGAACGCUGGCGACAUGCCUUACACAUGCAAGUCGAACGGCAGCACGGGUGCUUGCCCCUGGUGGCGAGUGGCGAACGGGUGAGUAAUACAUCGGAACAUGUCCUGUAGUGGGGGAUAGCCCGGCGAAAGCCGGAUUAAUACCGCAUACGAUCUACGGAUGAAAGCGGGGGCCCUUCGGGCCUCGCGCCUUAGGGUUGGCCGAUGGCUGAUUAGCUAGUUGGUGGGGUAAAGGCCUACCAAGGCGACGAUCAGUAGCUGGUCUGAGAGGACGACCAGUCACACUGGGACUGAGACACGGCCCAGACUCCUACGGGAGGCAGCAGUGGGGAAUUUUGGACAAUGGGCGAAAGCCUGAUCCAGCAAUGCCGCGUGUGUGAAGAAGGCCUUCGGGUUGUAAAGCACUUUUGUCCGGAAAGAAAUCCUUGGCCCUAAUACGGUCGGGGGAUGACGGUACCGGAAGAAUAAGCACCGGCUAACUACGUG